GCCAUGGGCAGGUUGAAGGUUGGGUAACACUAACUGGAGGACCGAACCGACUAAUGUUGAAAAAUUAGCGGAUGACCUGUGGCUGGGGGUGAAAGGCCAAUCAAACCGGGAGAUAGCUGGUUCUCCCCGAAAGCUAUUUAGGUAGCGCCUCGUGAAUUCAUCUCCGGGGGUAGAGCACUGUUUCGGCUAGGGGGCCAUCCCGGCUUACCAACCCGAUGCAAACUGCGAAUACCGGAGAAUGUUAUCACGGGAGACACACGGCGGGUGCUAACGUCCGUCGUGAAGAGGGAAACAACCCAGACCGCCAGCUAAGGUCCCAAAGUCAUGGUUAAGUGGGAAACGAUGUGGGAAGGCCCAGACAGCCAGGAUGUUGGCUUAGAAGCAGCCAUCAUUUAAAGAAAGCGUAAUAGCUCACUGGUCGAGUCGGCCUGCGCGGAAGAUGUAACGGGGCUAAACCAUGCACCGAAGCUGCGGCAGCGACGCUUAUGCGUUGUUGGGUAGGGGAGCGUUCUGUAAGCCUGUGAAGGUGGCCUGUGAGGGU
rnacentral:rRNA from 1 species